GAUGAAGAACGUAGCGAAAUGCGAUACUUGGUGUGAAUUGCAGAAUCCCGUGAACCAUCGAGUCUUUGAACGCAAGUUGCGCCCGAAGCCAUUAGGCCGAGGGCACGCCUGCCUGGGCGUCACACGUCGUUGCCCCCCCAUCUACUCCUUCGGGAUUGCGGGGGGCGGAUGAUGGCCUCCCGUGCGCCUCGUCGCGCGGUUGGCAUAAAUGCCAAGUCCUCGGCGACGCAUGCCACGACAAUCGGUGGUUGCGAAACCUCGGUUGCCCGUCGUGUGCGGUCGUCGCGCAUCGAGGGCUCGAAAAAAUUGCCGGGCUCCGGCUCGGCUUUCAACGCGACCCCAGGUCAGGCGGGGUUACCCGCUGAAUUUAAGCAUAUCAAUAAGCGGAGGA
rnacentral:misc_RNA from 1 species